GACGAACGCUGGCGGCGUGCUUAACACAUGCAAGUCGAACGGAAAGGCCCUGCUUUUGUGGGGUGCUCGAGUGGCGAACGGGUGAGUAACACGUGAGUAACCUGCCCUUGACUUUGGGAUAACUUCAGGGAACUGGGGCUAAUACCGGAUAGGAGCUCCUGCUGCAUGGUGGGGGUUGGAAAGUUUCGGCGGUUGGGGAUGGACUCGCGGUUUAUCAGCUUGUUGGUGGGGUAGUGGCUUACCAAGGCUUUGACGGGUAGCCGGCCUGAGAGGGUGACCGGCCACAUUGGGACUGAGAUACGGCCCAGACUCCUACGGGAGGCAGCAGUGGGGAAUAUUGCACAGUGGGCGGAAGCCUGAUGCAGCAACGCCGCGUGCGGGAUGACGGCCUUCGGGUUGUAAACCGCUUUCGCCUGUGACGAAGCGUGAGUGACGGUAAUGGGUAAAGAAGCACCGGCUAACUACGUG
rnacentral:rRNA from 1 species